rnacentral:rRNA from 1 species
UACGUAGGUGUCGAGCGUUGUCCGGAUUUAUUGGGCGUAAAGAGCCCGCAGGCGGCUUGCCAAGUUCGAGGUGAAAUCUCCCGGCUCAACCGGGAGGGUGCCUCGAAAACUGGCAGGCUUGAGGCAGGGAGAGGGAUGUGGAAUUCCCGGUGUAGUGGUGGAAUGCGUAGAUAUCGGGAGGAACAUCAGUGGCGAAAGCGGCACCCUGGCAUUAGCCUGACGCUCAGGUGCGAAAGCGUGGGGAGCGAACGGGAUUAGAAACCCCGGUAGU